GUUUAAGUAGCUUAUUUAGAGCAUAAUAUUGAAGAUAUUAAGGAAGUACUUUUACUUUUAGACA
rnacentral:tRNA from 1 species